GUCCAGGGGCGGGAAUCGAACCCACAACCUUCUGCUUACCGGGCAGAUGCCAUGUCCACUAGGCUACCCUGGA